GUGCUGCAAUUCAUGGGGUCGCAAAGAGUCAGACACGACUGAGCGACUGAACUGAACUGACAGUGCUGCAGGCAACAGGCACCAUUCUGCACACGGCUACACCAAGUGGCAUGUGGGGCCAGUUUUCUGAUCAGGAAUAAAGUCUGCACCCCCUGCAUUGGAGGCACAGAGUCUUAACCACUGGACCACCAGGGAAGACUGUGUUGUUUAAGUUUGUGUUUCUCUAUCAGAGAAGAUGAAGGUUUUUUUCGUAUGUCUAUUAGCUUUAGCAUUGCUUUUGUGAAUUUCUUUUUUAAAAAA